UACGUAGGGUCCGAGCGUUGUUCGGAAUUACUGGGCGUAAAGCGUGUGUAGGCGGCUUUGCAAGUCGGAUGUGAAAGCCCCGGGCUCAACCCGGGAAGUGCACUCGAUACUGCAGAGCUUGAGUGUCGGAGAGGUUGGUGGAAUUCUCGGUGUAGAGGUGAAAUGCGUAGAUAUUGCUCGGAAGGCCAACGGCGAAGGCAGGUUACUGGUGCGCAACUGACGCUGAGGAGCGAAAGCGUGGGGAGCGAACAGG
rnacentral:rRNA from 1 species